CGCCGCCGCCGCGCCGCGGCCCACGGGCAGAGUCGGCCCGGCGGGCUGGCAUUAAACUGAAGAAAAGAUGUCCCUGUACGAUGACCUGGGAGUGGAGGCCAGUGACUCGAAAACAGAAGGCUGGUCCAAAAACUUCAAACUCCUGCAGUCUCAGCUCCAGGUGAAGAAGGCGGCUCUCACGCAAGCCGAGAGCCAAAGGACAAAGCAAAGUACAGUUGUUCUUGCCCCAGUCACUGACCUAAAGCGAGGCGGCUCCUCAGACGACCGGCAGCUUGUGGACUCACCACCGCAUGUCGCCGCUGGGCUGAAGGGUCCUGUUCCCAGUGGGUUUUCUGCAGGGGAAGUUCUGGUUCCUCUAGCUGGCGAAUAUGAUCCUAUGUUUCCUAACGAUUGCGAGGAAGUAGUGAAGCGCCAAAGAGAGGAACGACAGAGACGGCGGGAGCUGGAAAGACAAAAGGAAAUAGAAGAAAGGGAAAAGAGGCGUAAGGACAGACACGAAGGCAGUGGGUUUUCAAGACGACCAGAUCCAGAUUCUGACGAAGAUGAAGACUAUGAGCGAGAGAGGAGGAAAAGAAGUAUGCGGGGAGCUGCCAUCGCCCCACCUACUGGUCUGGUGGAGAGAGAUAAAGAGUUACCUCGAGACUUCCCCUAUGAAGAGGACUCAAGACCUCGGUCACAGUCUUCCAAAGCUGCUAUCCCUCCCCCAUCAGACGAGGAACGGGACAGACCGAGAUCUCCAACUGGGCCUAGCAACUCCUUCCUCGCUAACAUGGGGGGCACGGUGGCACUUAAGAUCAUGCAGAAGUACGGCUUCCGGGAGGGCCAGGGCCUGGGGAAGCACGAGCAGGGCCUGAGCACCGCCCUGUCGGUGGAGAAGACCAGCAAGCGUGGCGGCAAGAUCACUGUAGGUGACGCGACGGAGAGAGGUGACUCCCCAGGGAAGUGCGAUGCAACUAAGAAGUCGGAUUCAAAUCCAUUAACUGAAAUACUUAAGUGUCCUACUAACGUGGUCCUAUUGAGGAACAUGGUUGGUGCAGGAGAGGUGGAUGAAGACUUGGAAGUUGAAACCAAGGAAGAAUGUGAAAAAUAUGGCAAAGUUGGAAAAUGUGUGAUAUUUGAAAUCCCUGGGGCCCCAGAGGAUGAAGCAGGGCAGAUAUUUUUAGAAUUCGAGAAGGUAGAGUCAGUGAUGAAAGCUGUUGUUGAUCUGAAUGGGAGGGAAAUUGGUGGACGGGUGGUAAAAGCAUGUUUCUACAAUUUGGAUAAAUUCAGGGUCUUGGAUUUGGCGGAACAAGUUUGAUUUUAAGAACUAGAGCACGAGUCAUCUCCAGUGAUCCUUAAAUGAGCUGCAGGCUGAGCGAAGGCGGAGAGAGGCCACAGCCUCCGUGGCUGUUGGAUACUGAGACUCUUGGAGGGACUUCUAAGAUAUACGUUGAUGGGACCCUUUUUUAUUUUGUGGUUUUUUAA